CGCGCAGACUAGGAUGCGAAAAAGGCCUCGAAGAUGGCUUAAUGGUUACGUUAGGCAUAAGGGAAACCCAGCGACGUAGUGGGGUGUAGUUGAAAUGGGGGGAGGUGGAAAUCUUCCUCCAAUCGGUUCAUCGUCUACAACAAAAUCAAUAUCAGAUGAGCGACUCGAAAGCUCAGAUGGAUAGACUAGCCGGCUUAUGAAGAAGGAUUUACCUAGCUCAGGAAAAUGAAAAGAGGACAAGUAGUUCCAACUAGGACAGCACCGG
rnacentral:lncRNA from 1 species